UCUAGAGACACAGAAUCACAGAAUCACAGAAUGGUUGAGGUUGGAAGGGACCUCUAGAGAUCACCAAGCUCAACACCCCCGCUCAAGCAGGGAUACC